UACAGAGGUCCCAAGCGUUGUUCGGAUUCAUUGGGCGUAAAGGGUGCGUAGGCGGCGCGGUAAGUCGGGUGUGAAAUCCCUCGGCUUAACCGAGGAACUGCGUCCGAUACUGAAAGGCUUGAAUCCGGGAGAGGGAUGUGGAAUUCCAGGUGUAGCGGUGAAAUGCGUAGAUAUCUGGAGGAACACCGGUGGCGAAGGCGGCAUCCUGGACCAACACUGACACUGAGGAGCGAAAGCCAGGGGAGCAAACGGG
rnacentral:rRNA from 1 species